rnacentral:rRNA from 1 species
AGUGAACGCUGGCGGUAGGCCUAACACAUGCAAGUCGAACGGCAGCACAGUAAGAGCUUGCUCUUACGGGUGGCGAGUGGCGGACGGGUGAGGAAUACAUCGGAAUCUACUUUUUCGUGGGGGAUAACGUAGGGAAACUUACGCUAAUACCGCAUACGACCUACGGGUGAAAGCAGGGGAUCUUCGGACCUUGCGCGAUUGACUGAGCCGAUGUCGGAUUAGCUAGUUGGCGGGGUAAAGGCCCACCAAGGCGACGAUCCGUAGCUGGUCUGAGAGGAUGAUCAGCCAAACUGGAACUGAGACACGGUCCAGACUCCUACGGGAGGCAGCAGUGGGGAAUAUUGGACAAUGGGCGCAAGCCUGAUCCAGCCAUACCGCGUGGGUGAAGAAGGCCUUCGGGUUGUAAAGCCCUUUUGUUGGGAAAGAAAAGCAGCAGGUUAAUACCCCGCUGUUCUGACGGUACCCAAAGAAUAAGCACCGGCUAACUUCGUG